rnacentral:lncRNA from 1 species
UGGUACAGAAGUCAGGAUCGUUUCUCAUGAACCAUGGUAAAGUUCUAAAGCUCUUGCUAAGUUGAGAUAUACACAUAACUAAUAACAUGUUACCUCAAAAGAACUAAUGAAUCUUUAUACAAUGUGAACAAAUCUAGGGUCUUGUGUAAGAUCAAGAUUUUAUCCUAUCAUUCACUUUAGACUUUGUUUAACCAUAGGUUCAAAGAUAUCUACUUAUGACCAUGCAUUGUACAGAUAGCUUUUUUUAUUUUAUCUCUUUACUUCUUUAUUUGUUUUUUUUUAUUUUUAGAAAAUAGCAGAUGACUGUUGUUCUCUUCCUUUAAAGUAAGAAAAAAAAAUGGAGGUUUGGUGACAAACAGCUUCCUUUAUUCCGUGGUUAAAAGACGUCGACGCUUUUUAUUUUCAUUGGUUUACACCCCGCUGAAUUCCAUGCGUAUAAAGACUUCAGGGGCAUAUAAACCAUUGGGAGUUUUUACUUUGGUGGCUUUCUUUUGGACAGUUAUUAGAGCUUGCACUUCUUUUAAUCCCAACUAAAGCUUUUUUUAUUUUUCUUUUCAUUUAGUCUCUCCACCAAAAAAUGUAGCUUCCCAAAGGACAUGUCUCUUUUAAUCUAAUACAGAAACAUGAGAGAUAUCUAUUCUUUCCUAUUUCAUA